GAGACUGGUCAUAACACCCUGAACACAUCUGAUCUCAUCUGAUCUUGGAAGCUAAGUAGGGUCAGGCCUGCUUAGUACUUAGUACUUGGAUGGGAAAGUAGGAAUAAAUUCCC
ensembl:rRNA 5S_rRNA 5S ribosomal RNA